rnacentral:rRNA from 1 species
GAUGAACGCUGGCGGCGUGCCUAAUACAUGCAAGUCGAGCGAACAGACGAGGAGCUUGCUCCUCUGACGUUAGCGGCGGACGGGUGAGUAACACGUGGAUAACCUACCUAUGAGACUGGGAUAACUUCGGGAAACCGGAGCUAAUACCGGAUAAUAUAUUGAACCGCAUGGUUCAAUAGUGAAAGACGGUUUUGCUGUCACUUAUAGAUGGAUCCGCGCCGCAUUAGCUAGUUGGUAAGGUAACGGCUUACCAAGGCAGCGAUGCGUAGCCGACCUGAGAGGGUGAUCGGCCACACUGGAACUGAGACACGGUCCAGACUCCUACGGGAGGCAGCAGUAGGGAAUCUUCCGCAAUGGGCGAAAGCCUGACGGAGCAACGCCGCGUGAGUGAUGAAGGUCUUCGGAUCGUAAAACUCUGUUAUUAGGGAAGAACAAAUGUGUAAGUAACUAUGCACGUCUUGACGGUACCUAAUCAGAAAGCCACGGCUAACUACGUG